AAAAAUUAGUUAGGACCCUUACUUGGAUCUGCGGUUAGUAUUUAAAUCGUAGAUUGUAUUUAGUUAGUUUUUAAUACCAACUGCAGAUUCAAGUGAGGGUUCUAACCCUAACCUCU
rnacentral:miRNA from 1 species